GGUAGAGUGGCCGAGCGGUCUAAGGCGCUGGUUUAAGGCACCAGUCUCUUCGGAGGCGUGGGUUCAAAUCCCACCUCUGCCA
rnacentral:tRNA from 1 species